rnacentral:rRNA from 1 species
UACGGAGGGGGCGAGCGUUAUUCGGAAUUAUUGGGCGUAAAGGGCGCGUAGGCGGCUCGAUAAGUCAAAGGUGAAAUCCCUCGGCUCAACUGAGGAACUGCCUUUGAAACUGUCGAGCUUGAGUCCGGGAGGGGGUAGCGGAAUUCCCAGUGUAGCGGUGAAAUGCGUAGAUAUCGGGAGGAACACCAGUGGCGAAGGCGACUUCCUGGCCUGUUCUUGACGCUGAGGCGCGAAAGCUAGGGGAGCAAACGGG